UCCUCCUCUGCUCAGGCGGGCCACGGUGAGGCGGCCAUUUUGCGGCAGGUUCCGUGUGCCGGCGGUAGCAGCAGCAGCAGCUCGUUGCCCUUCUUCGCGUACUCACCGCUCACACAUGGCCGAAUACUCCGCAGUGGCGCCGCCUAAUGCGCUAACGGCUGGCGGAGGAGGAGCAGGUGGUGGUGGAGGUGCCGGUGGAGCUGGAGGAGGCGCCGGUGGUGGUGGAGGAAGCGGCGCUGGAGGAGGAGGUGGCGGCGGCGGCGCGGGUGCCGGUGUAGCCGGGGGUGCAGGAGGAGGAGGGCCCGGCGCCGCUGGUGGAGGAGGAGGCGGCUUCAAAAACGAUGCCUUCGCCGACGCCCUACAAAGGGCGAGGCAGAUUGCAGCAAAAAUUGGUGGAGAUACAGGAACAACAGCAAUAAAUACAUCUGACUAUGGAUAUGGAGGACAGAAAAGACCCUUGGAAGAUGGGGAUCAACCAGAUACUAAGAAAGUUGCUCAGAAUGACCCAUUUGGAACACAGCUAGCUGCAAUGCAUCAACAGCGGUCAAUUGCGACAGAGGAAUACAAGGUUCCUGACAGCAUGGUUGGAUUUAUUAUUGGUAGAGGAGGAGAGCAGAUUUCACGCAUACAACAAGAGUCUGGGUGCAAAGUACAGAUUGCACCUGACAGUGGUGGUUUACCAGAAAGGUCUUGCAUGUUGACAGGCAGCCCUGAUUCUAUUAUAGCUGCAAAGAGACUGCUUGAUCAGAUAGUUGAAAGGGGCCGAAUUGGUCCUGGUACACACCACGGUGAUGGAGCAGGUACUUCUGUGCAGGAGAUCAUGAUUCCUGCAAGCAAGGCUGGGCUUGUUAUUGGAAAAGGCGGAGAAACAAUCAAGCAAUUACAGGAACGUGCUGGAGUGAAGAUGGUGAUGAUUCAAGAUGGACCUCAGCCAACAGGAUCAGAUAAACCUCUUCGAAUUACAGGAGAUCCAUACAAAGUACAGCAAGCCAAGGACAUGGUGAUGGAUUUAAUUCGUGACAGAGACCAAGGUUUUAGAGAGCAGCGUAACGAAUAUGGAUCUCGUGUGGGAGGGUCUAAUGAAACAUUGGAUGUCCCUGUGCCUCGAUUUGCUGUUGGUAUUGUAAUAGGGAGAAGUGGAGAAAUGAUAAAGAAGAUACAGAACGAUGCAGGAGUAAGGAUUCAGUUCAAGCCAGAUGAUGGGACAACUCCAGAAAGAAUAGCUCAGAUCCUGGGCCCUCCAGACAGAUGUCAGCAUGCUGCAGAGAUACUAAGAGACCUCCUACGAAGUGUGGAGGCUGGCAUGCCUCCUGGUGGUAGUGGUCCUGGUCCUGGCAGAGGAAGAGGCAGAGGACAAGGGAACUGGAAUAUGCCCCCACCAGGUGGUCUACAGGAGUUCACUUUCACAGUACCAAGCAGUAAGACUGGCAUAAUCAUUGGCAAAGGAGGGGAGACUGUUAAAUCCAUUAGUCAGCAAUCAGGAGCACGAAUAGAGCUCCAGAGAAACCCACCUCCAAAUGCUGAUCCCAACUUCAAAAUGUUUAUUAUUCGUGGAUCAACUCAGCAGAUUGACUAUGCCAGGCAACUUAUUGAAGAGAAGAUUGGGGCUCCUACUGGUCCUCCUGGGCCACCUGGUCCUCAUGGUCCCCAUGGACCCCAUGGCCCACCUGCCCCUCAUGGGCCCCCGGGCCCCCCAGGUCCUGGAGCUCCUAUGGGACCCUAUAACCCAGGACCCUAUAAUCCAGGCCCUCCUGGCCCACCUCAACAUGGACCACCAGCACCUUACGCUCCACAAGGAUGGGGGAAUGCCUAUCAACCCUGGCAACAGCAGGGUCCACCAGAUCCAAGUAAAGCUGGAGAUGCAAAUACUGCUGCGUGGGCAGCAUAUUACGCUCAGUAUUAUCAGCAACAAGCACAACAGCCUCCUGCCGCUCCAAGUACUGGUCCAAGCAAUACCCCAAAUUCUGCACCUGCAGGUGAUCCAAACCAGCCAACUGCUCCUCCAAAUCCUCAGACGGAUUAUACCAAGGCCUGGGAAGAAUAUUACAAGAAAUUAGGUCAGCAGGGACAACCACAAGGCCCCCAGCAAGAUUACACCAAAGCUUGGGAGGAAUACUACAAGAAGCAGAGUCAGGCAGCCCAAGCCUCUAGUACAGCAGCUCAACCAAGCGGACAGCCUGACUACAGCGCUGCAUGGGCUGAGUACUACAGACAGCAAGCGGCUUAUUACAGUCAGACAAACUCCCAGCCGAUGCCCCAGCACCCACCAGCACAGCAACCCCCACAGGCAUUAAUCAAACCCCUUCUUGAGCCACAAAGAACGUUCAGUAGCCCAGCUGUUGGGGACUGCUCAUUUUAGGUAUGGAGAAUCGAAUGAGUACUAUGACCAAGAACCACAAGACAUCUGCAGGUUUAUCCUGAAUAUUAUAGACCUAAGCACUUCUGACAGUGUGACCUUGCAGACAAAAUCCAGGCCAAAUUGAAUUAGUCAUGACAAAAUCUUCACCGGGAUUACACGUGCCUGUUCAAAAGUUUGGAUGAUCCAGACUCCUUAACAUUGGUCAGCAACAGUCCCGGAUCCCAAGGUGAGGAUGACCAUCUCCUCCCACGGUCUAUCAGAAUUGUAACAUUUAUUUUGGUGGCUCUGGAUAUCUGCCAUUGACUGCCAGUGAUCUGAUUUUAUUUCCAAUUGCAUGUAGUUUGUGAUUCUGUGCCAAAUAUAUAAUAUUUUGUACAUUUGCCAGCUGGCUGUGAUCUCAUUAAAAAAAAAUUGAUGCUAUAUUUUUUGAACAAUGCCAAUAGAAUAAUAGUUCAAGUCAUAGAACACUACAGCAUAGAAACAGGCCAUUCUGCCCAUCUAGUGCCAUCAACCUGCAACUAGACCAUAGCCCUCCAUGCUCCUCCCAUCUGCCUAUCCAAAUUUUUUAGUCUUGAAAUUGAACCCACAUCCACCACUUCCACUGGCAACUUGUUCCACACUCACCAUCAUCUGCAUGAAGAAAUUCCCCCUCAUUUUCCCCUUAAAUAGUUCAUCUUUCACCCAUAAGCCAUGACAUCUGGUUUUAGUUUCGCCCAACCUCAGUGGAAAAAGCCUGCUAUACCCUAUGUAUAUUUCUGUGAAGGGAAUAUUUAGCCUCUGUGGGUGUUUUUAUUGCAAAAUACAGUAAUGUUAGUAUAUCUACCAAUUGUAAUAUUCAUUGAACUUGAAUGCACAAGAAAAAUGCAUCUAAGGUUUCUGUACCUGUGAGAACAGUUUAAAUUCUGGACUGACUGCUCCUCCCUCUUUGGCAACUGUUUGUUAGGACAGGGUAUCAAGGAAGUUAUCACACUUCUAAUGGGAGGCAUUUGCUCCUCUUUCAGCUUCCCCUCUUGCUCCCAUAGUAUGUUCAUUUCUCCCUUUUAAAUUCUGAGAUUUGUGCUUGAGGCAAACAACCCCGAUUGUUAAAUUGGCCUGCCUUUUAUUUCUGAUGGAGCAAAUUAGCCCCUUCCAAUUUUUCAUAAAUUUGCAAAGCUGUUUUGAGAAGUUAGUCAAGGGAUUGGUGAGAAUGUAAGCUCAUUAAAUGAGUUUUUAAUUAGAUGAAACAAUUUGAGGUUUUAGUAUCCUUACUGUUUCAUGAAAAGUGGGAUGGUUAUUGGGCAAAGUUAGUGCACGUACUGAGUAUUGAUAUAGCCAUAAAACAUGUUGAGAACAUGCAUCUCCGAGUUUUUUUGUGUUGCGGUGUAUUUAUCUUGUUCACGGUAAACACGAUAAAUUUGUCAUUGGAGUUUAAUCUUUCUGUAGAGCAUGUAAUGAAGCCUCGCCUGUAUCAAUUGAUAUGGUAGUUUUGAUAGUAUUGAAGCAAUCACUUGAAUAGAGUUGAUCUUUCAUAGCUUUUUGCCAUAUAUAACCAAUGCAUGCAAUGUUUUAGGUAUUUAGACAGCAGCAAUAAAUGCUGAAUAUACUUACCUGAAUGAGUAAAGCACCCUCUCCUUUAAAGCAGAACUCCAUAAACCAGUUCCAUACAUCUUGCAUUGCAACUGAAUGCCAAAGUUAUUAUAAUGCUCACUUUAUAAGAAAGUGUUUCAAAUGGAGGCUUUUGGUAUAGUUUUCUUGUACCAUGUGAAGUCGCAACUCAUUGCAAAUGAAGUGCAAUUUUUAUACUUCACAGUGUCACCCAGACCUUGAACCUUAAGUUCUGCUGCAGUACACUGAAAGGUAAGCAAGAACAAAGGCACAUUCUUACAGGGUUGAAAAGAUUUUAACCAGUUGUUGGCCCUCUGUUGUUGCACUAUUCUGAUGAAACUCCUCAUUCCUUUACAGUACAAGAAUGCAAUUACAUGUUAGUCUGAUAGCCAAAUGUGAUGUAAUUCUAAUAUAUAAAUUUAUGUGGGUUAAAAGCAUAAAGGGCUAUGAAUAUGCAAUUAUGUACAAGACUAGAAAUGUCAGCAUCUGAAAGAGAUUCGUUCAGGUUUUGAGCCUGUAGCUGAAGCAUUUUUAUCUGUCUUUGCAAUGCCAUCACAUUUGCCUUGCUGUUUUAAGUUUUUGAUUUUGGAAGAAGUAGGAAUCUGUACAUGGAUAAAGUGUUCAGUGUGCAAUUGGCAGCUCCAAUUUUUAUGAGAGUAUUUAGAAAUUACUAACAUAACUUUUUGAUAGGAACUUAAGUCAUAAAACUACUGUCCAUUCUGAAGGCUGUUUAUUCAAAUUUCAUUAUAUAUUAGGUGUCUGCAUCACUACCGUUGCUAUGCUUUUAUUCUAAAUCUAUAAUUAGAAUGUGAAUCAGUUGCGAAGACUUUGUUGUAUUUCUUUAAUAACACAUAUUGGCAAGAGGGAUCGGGGGAGUUAAGAAGAGUUUAUAUAAACCUAUUCAGUUUGUAUGUUUUGUAGGAAAAGCUGUAUGCUUUGCUAUGGAUAUUCCAUAUUGUCUUAUUUUAUUUAACCCUCUUCCACUCUGGAUGAAAAAUGCUAUUGGUUAUUUCACCUUCAUUUCCCAAAUAUCAUCCCUUUCAGUAUUGCUUAAGAGGUCUGCAGAGUGAGACUUGCUGUUUCUGCAUUGAAACCUUUUGAGAAAUAACCUGGAGAUUAGGUUAAAAUAUCAGCAGUUUACACUGCACUAAUCUCAGGCACGUAAUUGUAUGUUAAGGUCAGGUAUGCUGUUAUUUUGCUAUGUUUUUAAUGGUGAUUCACCGUUCACUGCGGGCUUGUGAGUUUACAGUAUUUUGGUGACAUGCUUAGAAAUCGUGAUCAAAUGGGUGAAUCUUCUUGAUUGCAAUUUAUUUUAGGGGAUUAAAUAUGCCAGAUGUUAUUACCUUUGUAUUUUAAUCAAAAAGUCUUCGUGAUAUUGUCUAAAAGCCAGUCUGCUCAUCUCUUGGCAAUUCUUUUCCCCUCAAAGUACGCAUAGACGGUGCCUUCGUUCUUGCACAGUACUGAAGAGCUAGCUGGCAGCACCCGAUUCAUAGGUCAUAGCAGCAGGCCCUGAAAUAGUUUCUACCCUUAUGGAGGAUUCCUUUGAGUUCAUCCUGUUGAACUGAUGAACAUAAAAACAUUCAAGGGCUCUCUGUAUAAGGUAAUGUUUAUUUGAGGGAAACAUCAUUCAUUUGUGUGCAAGUUUAUUACGCACAAACUGUGAUAUUCUGAUCAGACAUGUUCUCUGGCAUAUGAACCUGUUUCUGCUCCCAUGUUUCAGUCAUAGGCACAUGUUAAACUAAAUCCACUUUUUCCUGCAGGCUGAAACUAUUUUAAAUUACAUAGUUCAGUCAAAUUUAAUACAUCUAGAGUUUUACAAAUUUUAAGUCGUCAGUAUAUUAUUACAAGACCAGUUUAGAAUUGCAAGACUUUUUAUGUAUGUUUUUUUUUUGGCUUGUUUUUCCUCUGGUUAUUUUGUUUUUACUUUGGUCUUUCUUCGAUGCUUCUACAAAGUAUAAAUUUAAAUUACUGAAUUAAAAUGAACAUAUCAAAUUUAUAUGCAUUUUAAUUUGAAAGUAGGUUUUAAGUUGUAUAGAGUAGAAAUACAGAAAUAGAAUAAACAGUUUAAUUGUUAUCUUGGCAGUUUAUUUAAUGAUGCAAUGUAAAUAUAGGAAUCUGCAAUAAGUUAGGAAAAAUGGAUGCAGCUUGUAUAAAUGAGCACAUUGAACUUUUUACAUUUGAGGACUUGCUUACUUGAACAGUUUACACAUUUUUGUUUGUCUCAAAAAUGUUUAGUCUUGAUUCUAAGAAAAUCUGCAGAAGAGAUCUUCUGCCUUUAUUACUGUACACAGUUGGUUAGAUUCUGUAGUGAAUGUCAUUUAACCCAAUAGUGUUUUAUAUUAGGCAGCAACUGUAAGAGAAUUUAGAGGAAUGAAGUACCUGGAUUUCACUGCAAAUUUUUGCUGUUGUUCCUGAUUGUACUUUAUUAUUGGUACACUGUUAGAUAGGUUUUCUGCAUAUUUCUUUUGCAUUUUUUUUUAAAACAUUUUUGAGAUGGAUUAGAUACUAUCUCGAAGAAAAAAAAUCUUCAGAAAAUGUGCAUUGCUGGAGAAGACUACUAAGCAAAUAAAGGGCUUGCUGUGGUUGGAGGAAGGGAUAUACAGAUUUGGAGCUGAACAGUAAGGUAACUUCUCAUCUGACAAAGCUGUUUGAGAAUGAUACAGAUAUAUUGACAUUAAAGGUUUUGCUUUACUUACUGAUGUGUAAUCUGACUUUAGUGUGAAUUAAAUUGUAAAGGAUUUGAUUUAUAAAUAAAGUCUUAAGUUGCUCAAAUAA